CCGCAGAGCUGGCCAGAGCAAGCUGGACACUUUCACAAGGUACUUUUGUCUUUUCCCUUCCUGAUGAACCAGCCCUUCGUAGUUUGUGGCAGUUGGUAUGGCAGACACAUGCCUUGGAAGAAGAGGUUCAGUUCUCCCCUUCAGAGGAGAAACUUAUUGCCCUCUGGCAAAAAUGGUGUAGAGAAGAUGGGAUUUUUCUGUCAGCAACAGAUCUCUAUGAGUUCUUUCGAUGGGCAAAGCUUUUUGGGUUCUUUGCUGAUGUCCUACACGCUUUGGAUGCUUUUGUCUGGGAGUGCAUGGACUCCAUUUUCCAGUCCGUCUGGGGCCAGGAACGUCUUUUGCCUUCUAUCUACCCAGCAUUUCUAAAGCUCUUCCCAGUUUUGAAACGGAGAGCAGCUGUUUUUCAAUGGAUUUCUAACUGUUAUGGACAGGCUCCGUCCCCAGUGGGAGAAGACCCGGCGGGGGAUGAGUGGGGGCUUCCCAGCCCCCUGUCCUCAGCGGGAGAAGACCCGGCGGGGGAUGAGUGGGGGCUCCCCAGCCCCCCCUGCUCCGCGGCAGGGGGAGGCGAAACUGCACAGAGCGAAGAAGUUUUUUUUACUCUUUCUCCGGAGCCUGCGCAGACGGGGCCUUCUCCUCCCCCCCCUUCUCUCUCUCCGGGGGCGUGGGGUUGGGCGGUCCCGCUCGAGCCAGUGCCGUUGGUGCCGCCGCUGCCGGCCUCUCUGACUCCGCCCCACCCAGAGAUGGGGGCGGCACCGGUCUCUGAGGCCUCCCCGCCCCUGCCAGCGCCUGCGUCUGAGAAUGCAGAAGAGGCACUUCCUGUGGCUGCUGAGUUGCUAAGCGACGACGACGCAUCUCCAGCUUCCGGCUCAGCGGAGGAGUUGUUCUCUCCGGACCCUCCGGCCCCUCUGCCGUUCCCAUCGGCUUCCUCGCCGCCUCAGGCCGAGACGGUCCCUGGUCAGGAUGGUGCUGGAGACAGCGCCGAACCUGCGGGACCCUCGGAAAAGCCCGCGGCCACUCCUACACCCAGCGAAUUUCCCUCCCCGGUUCCGGCUUCCCCGCCGCUGCCUGCACAGGCUGCCCCAGCAGUUCUGCCGUUGUCGGAGGAUGUGUCCUCCGUGUCGG
rnacentral:lncRNA from 1 species